rnacentral:misc_RNA from 1 species
GAAAUGCGAUAAGUAAUGUGAAUUGCAGAAUUCAGUGAAUCAUCGAAUCUUUGAACGCAUCUUGCGCUCCUUGGUAUUCUGAGGAGCAUGCCUGUUUGAGUGUCAUCAAGCUCUCAACCACAUCAAUUUGCUUUGAUGUGGAUUGGACAUGGGAUUUUGCAGGCCAAUUUUGAUCUGCUUUCCUGAAAUAGAUUAGUGGUAUCUGAGCAGAGGCUACUACAGGUGUGAUAACUUAUCUAUGCCUAUUGUUAAAGUGCUGCACAAACUGCUUCCAAAUCUUGAUUUUUGACCAAUUUGACCUCAAAUCAGGUGGGACUACCCGCUGAACUUAA